rnacentral:misc_RNA from 1 species
AACCUAGCACACCUGCGGUGUGUACCUGCGGAGGGAUCAUUACCUAGAGUUGUAGGCUUUGCCUGCUAUCUCUUACCCAUGUCUUUUGAGUACCUUACGUUUCCUCGGCGGGUUCGCCCGCCGGUUGGACAAAACUUAAACCCUUUGUAGUUGCAAUCAGCGUCUGAAAAAACUUAAUAGUUACAACUUUCAGCAAUGGAUCU